UUAUGGCAGCAAAAGAAAGCAGGUUCAUGUGUGUACAGAAAUACAUGCGCUUUCAUAUCGUCACUGCUCUUGCCAUUCCUGCUGUCUUCCAGCCUCAGUGUCUUGUUCAAUCCCUGAUUCACAUUGACAUGCUGACGCUGUAGCUGUGUGAGCAGUCGACUACUAAUUGCCCCUGCUUUUAUACAGCAGGGGCCACCCUCUGAGCAGCUGGCAGGUGCAGGUGUGAAGAGGGGUCGACCUGUGCUCUCAGCGGCACCAUGGACAUGCCCCAAGUGUCUAGAACAGCACUGAGCACUUCACAGGCACGUCAUUUAGUGCUCAUGAAGCUCUGUGGGCUGAGUGUUGCCAUCCUGUUUUCUCGGAUGAUGAAACUGAGGCUUAGAGGGGUUAAAUCACUUGCUUAUGGCUUUACAAUCACCGAGAAUUGAAGCUCAGUCUAAGAAGGAAGUAUGUUAACAAGGAGACACAGCGA